GUAUCCAGGCUCCGUAAAACAAUGGUACUACACACGUAUAACGUCUUCAACGACACGGCCGCUUACGUAAAACUGUCUGUGACGUUAUGCAUCAACCCUUUACAUGUGUGUCAAGAACUCCUGUCGCGGGGCCGCGUUACACUGCUCUUCAUCACAUACUCGACCAUUUGUGUUUAGUUUUAUUCGCACCACCGGGUUAAGACAGUCAAAGCUGCAAGAAUUAAAAAAAAGGUGUCCGACAGACAUGCAACGUGUUGCACGUUUAACUGUUAUCAAAAAAACAAAACCAUAUUUCACUAAUUUCGUACUAUUGAACAUUUUUAAUUGCUGUGAACAAAUUAGUUCAAGUUGAUACGAUUUAUGGUCAGUCAAACAAAGUGUCAGUCAAGCAACAAGUAGUAAUAAAGAGUGUUUCACUUGUUACUCGAUUUUGUUUCUAUUAUUAUAGAAUGGAAUUAAAUACGAACAGAAUAAAAUAUUGUGUAAUGCUGGAAUGCAUCAACAAAAAACACCCAUCGGGUCUGAUAGUUAAAAAUAACUUUCUUCCAGCGUACAAUACAUUCAUCUUGUCAUAGUCGCACAGCAG